UGCCCACCAACUCCUAUCCAGACCUUCUCGUGGUACCGGCCGGAAACAAUGAGCACCCUUAAGGAAGAUCGGGAAACCAACCCCGGUGGGAACUUUGGUCGUAGGCUGACAGGGAAGG
rfam:Aedes albopictus isolate Foshan contig37861, whole genome shotgun sequence.